AAAUUCCGUGUAACCUUUUCAAUUGCAUUUGAUUCACAAUUGAUUCUCCAAAUACCAGAGUGGUUUUUGAAGAUUCUUCAUUACCAAAAGAAACCUUGAAAUGUUUGAGAAUUUUUGUGACCAGCUGUGGAUAAGGCAACAUAAGCUUGCUCUGAGAAGCUUCCAGCAUGUGCCUUAGCACAAUCCAACUCCAACUCAUCCUUAGCUCUUUA
rnacentral:lncRNA from 1 species